rnacentral:rRNA from 1 species
AUUGAACGCUAGCGGGAUGCUUUACACAUGCAAGUCGAACGAGGGGCGGACGGGUGAGCAACAUAUCGGAACGUGCUCAGUAGCGGGGGAUAACUACUCGAAAGAGUGGCUAAUACCGCACACCAUUGGAGCGGCCGAUAUCGGAUUAGGUAGUUGGGGGGGUAAAGGUUCACCAAGGCAACGAUCCGUAGCUGGUUGGAGAGGACGACCAGCCACACUGGGACUGAGACACGGCCCAGAGUCCUACGGGAGGCAGCAGUGGGGAAUGUUGGACAAUGGGGGAAACCCUGAUCCAGCCAUCCCGCGUGUGUGAGAAGGCCUUCGGUUUGUAAAGUACGUUUUGCAGAGAAGCGGUAUCUGCAGAAUAAGCACCGGCUAACUACGUGCCAGCAGCCGCGGUAAUUC